UCCUACGGGGGGCAGCAGUCGGGAAUAUUGCGCAAUGGAGGAAACUCUGACGCAGUGACGCCGCGUAUAGGAAGAAGGUUUUCGGAUUGUAAACUAUUGUCGUGAGGGAAGAAAUUGACAGUACCUCAGGAGGAAGCUCCGGCUAACUAUGUGCCAGCAGCCGCGGUAAUACAUAGGGAGCAAGCGUUAUCCGGAUUUACUGGGUGUAAAGGGAGCGUAGACGGCGCGGCAAGUCUGAAGUGAAAGGCAGGGGCUUAACCCCUGAACUGCUUUGGAAACUGCCAUGCUAGAGUGCUGGAGAGGUA
rnacentral:rRNA from 1 species